rnacentral:rRNA from 1 species
UACGGAGGGGGCGAGCGUUGUUCGGAAUUAUUGGGCGUAAAGGGCGCGUAGGCGGCCAUGCGUGUCUUCCGUGAAAUCCCUCGGCUUAACUGAGGACGUGCGGAAGAAACUGCAAGGCUCGAGUCCGGGAGAGGGGGGUGGAAUUCCCAGUGUAGCGGUGAAAUGCGUAGAUAUUGGGAGGAACACCGGUGGCGAAGGCGGCCCCCUGGACCGGAACUGACGCUGAGGCGCGAAAGCGUGGGUAGCAAACGGG